GAACGCUAGCUACAGGCUUAACACAUGCAAGUCGAGGGGCAUCAGGAACAAGCUUGCUUUGUUUGCUGGCGACCGGCGCACGGGUGAGUAACACGUAUGCAACCUGCCCGCCACAGGGGGAUAAACGCUGGAAACGGCGCCUAAUACCCCAUACUAUCGCUAUGCUGCAUGGCAUGGCGAUGAAAACUCCGGUGGUGGCGGAUGGGCAUGCGGCGCAUUAGCUGGUUGGAGGGGUAACGGCCCACCAUGGCAACGAUGUCUAGGGGUUCUGAGAGGAAGGUCCCCCACACUGGAACUGAGACACGGUCCAGACUCCUACGGGAGGCAGCAGUGAGGAAUAUUGGUCAAUGGUCUGACGACUGAACCAGCCAUGCCGCGUGAAGGUCACGGCCCUAUGGGUCUUAAACUUCUUUUGUAAGGGAGCAAUAAGUCUCACGUGUGGGAUGAUGAGAGUACCUUACGAAUAAGCAUCGGCUAACUCCGUG
rnacentral:rRNA from 1 species